rnacentral:rRNA from 1 species
GACGAACGCUGGCGGCGUGCUUAACACAUGCAAGUCGAACGCUGAAGCUUGGUGCUUGCACUGGGUGGAUGAGUGGCGAACGGGUGAGUAAUACGUGAGUAACCUGCCCUUGACUCUGGGAUAAGCCUGGGAAACUGGGUCUAAUACUGGAUAUGACAUGCCACUGCAUGGUGGUGUGUGGAAAGGGUUUUAUUGGUUUUGGAUGGGCUCACGGCCUAUCAGCUUGUUGGUGGGGUAAUGGCCUACCAAGGCGACGACGGGUAGCCGGCCUGAGAGGGUGACCGGCCACACUGGGACUGAGACACGGCGCAGACGCCUACGUGACGCAGCAGUGGGGAAUAUUGCACAAUGGGCGGAAGCCUGAUGCAGCGACGCCGCGUGAGGGAUGACGGCCUUCGGGUUGUAAACCUCUUUCAGCACGGAAGAAGCGAGAGUGACGGUACGUGCAGAAGAAGCGCCGGCUAACUACGUG